CCAAUAGCGUAUAUUAAAGUUGUUGCAGUUAAAAAGCUCGUAGUUGAAUUUCGGGGUUAGUAGAUUGGUCAUGCCAUCGGUAUGCACUGGUCUCACUGAUUCCUCCUUCCUGAUGAGCCGUAAUGCCAUUAAUUUGGUGUUAUAGGGAAUCAGGACUGUUACUUUGAAAAAAUUAGAGUGUUUAAAGCAGGCUCACGCUUGAAUACAUUAGCAUGGAAUAACGGAAUAGGACGUUUGAUUCUAUUUUGUUGGUUUCUAGGAUCGACGUAAUGAUUAAUAGGGAUAGUUGGGGGGAUUAGUAUUCAAUUGUCAGAGGUGAAAUUCUUGGAGUUAUUGAAGACUAACUACUGCGAAAGCAUUUGCCAAGGAUGUUUUCAUUAAUCAAGAACGAAAGUUAGGGGAUCGAAGACGAUCAGAUACCGUCGUAGUCUUAACCAUAAACUAUGCCGACUAGGGAUCGGAUGAUGUUAAUUUUUUAAUGACUCAUUCGGCGCCUUACG
rnacentral:rRNA from 1 species